CGUAAAUGAUCUUGUCUUAAGGUUUCCUAGUCACCGAGCAAGAAACAAAAAUUCCUCACAAAUGCCUCGUCCAAGCAUCAAGGUAAUUUUAAUUACCUCUUUGUAAUGUACCGUCUCUUUGGGCUACUUAGGUUCCAGGUCACCUGAGAUAAACACAUAAAUGCCACUAGAAUUGUUUAAGCCCAGUCACUUAAGCUAAAUGAAAAGAUAGAAAACAUCCCUGAUGCUUAAGAAUCCUAAUCACUCAAGCUAAAUGAAAUGCCAAAAGAAAGUCCUUGAUGCUAGAAUGCAAAUGAGCUUGUCCCACCUCGUGAAAUUACUCAGGUUUCUAUUCACUUGAGUUAAACACAAAUGCCUCAGGAAUUGUUUGAGAUUCUAGUCACUCAAGCUAAAUGAAACAACAAACGAUUAAAAAGAUGCAAAUGAUAAGGUUGUCUCACCUCUUUGGACUACUUGGGUUUCUAGUCACCCUAGUUAAACACAAAUGCCUCGUCCACUGCUUGCUAAACUGAAAACAAGGUAAUUUUAAUUACCUUUCUGAAAUAUUCCUGAUGACAGAACACAAACGAGCUAUAAGCAAGUGCAUUGUCCUAUGAAUGAGGUAAUUUUAUUUACCUCUCUGAAACAUUUUAAUGGCAGAACUUAAACGAGCUUGUCCCGUGGUUUCCUAUCAACGAGCUUGUCCCGUGGUUUCCUAUCAACGAGCUAUAUACAAAUGCCUCGUCCUCAAAACAAGGUAAUCUUAUUUACCUCGUUGAAAUGGCCUUGAUGCCAGAAUUUACAUGAUUCUCUAUUUGGAAUUGCAUGAGAUUCAAGUCACUCAAGCCAAAUGGUAAGGUUUUCUCACCUCUUUGGACUCCUCGUGUUUCUAGUUAAUCUCUUGGAAUUACUCGGUUCUAAGUGUAUGGAUAUAAGAAAUGAGGUACUUACGACAUUUAUACAGCAUGCGUGGCCUCAAGCUUAAAUACCACUUUCAUGAAUCUCUCAAAGUUCAUUCUUCCUCAUCUAAUUCAGGUGCAAUGGAGAAGUUUUAAACAAGCAUAAAGAUGUUCUCCUCCGGCUUUCAAAUAUCAAAGAUCAGUACAAGAGUUUCAGAUAGACAUGAUCCUGAGGGUUCUCAAUAUUGUUGCUUCUGUAAGACAAAUUCGGGUGGCUCCUGAAGUUGUUGAAGUUGCGGUUCUGCACAUACCCUAGUCCAUUCACAAAGUUGUCCCUUACCUGAUCAUCAUUCUUAGAGAUGCGGUUUUGGACUUAGUGUAGAAAUGGUAUAAAAACGCUGAUCUACAUUCUGCCCAAGUUGUCAAUGACCCAGCUGGCAAUGACUUCAACCAGCGCGAAACUCUGUCCGCAAGUGAGAAUGGAAAGAGCUUUCACUUCAGAAAAUCACUUGGUAUCCCAUUUGACCGAGUCGUGCUGCAAAUCUCCUCAAAAUUAUUGAUGGGUCCAUCAGAAUUUCAGCAGAAAGUCCUUGGAAAAGAUGCUGCUUCACCAAUGAGAGCAACUGAGGUUUGAUCUCAAAUUCUUGCCUCUGAAUCGCUGGAGGAGCAAUUGCAGCUCUGUUUUGGUAAAAAGCAUGCAGAUUGUCCUUAUCUCCAACGGCAGGCUGUUGCUGCUCCCUGUCUUGCUGCGCUUUUUGCAGUUGCUCCAAUUGCUGUCGAAGCUAUUGCACCUCGACAGCCAUGUCAUCAUUGUUACAUUGAUCGCCUAUGUUGGCUGAAUUAGGCCUUCGACGUCUGUUUUCUUGCUCUACUCUUGCAAGCUCGGUGUUUGACAAGGUAAUAAGAUCCUCGGUGCAUUUUUUUCUUGUGGACCUGUUUGUCAUGCACCUGAAACACACACAGACAAGAUAAAAAGAGAGCAAGUUAGUAAGGUCUUAGUCU